CCGUGACCUGCGAGGGGCAGAGGGAGGACAGCGGGGCUGAGAACCGGCGUCGGGAAAGCGCGAGACUCUCCAGACACACUGUACCUGCUCUGCAGACACCAGAAUUCUGAGAUAAGUAUGUCGGGGCCACAGACAGCAGCUGUUCCUCA